UACGUAGGCAGCGAGCGUUGUUCGGAAUUACUGGGCGUAAAGAGUGUGUAGGCGGUGCUCUAAGUUCGGUGUGAAAUCUCCUGGCUCAACUGGGAGGGUGCGCCGGAAACUGGAGUGCUUGAGCGUGGGAGAGGAAAGCGGAAUUCCUGGUGUAGCGGUGAAAUGCGUAGAUAUCAGGAGGAACACCGGUGGCGAAGGCGGGUCUCUGGGCAACAACUGACGCUGAGGAGCGAAAGCGUGGGGAGCGAACAGG
rnacentral:rRNA from 1 species